UAGAUGUGAGUAAUUCAGUAAUUAUUUUUAUUCAUCAUGGAAUUAAUUUCUUUUAAACAGGGUCUCAUAUACAGUCCAGCCUGGCCUCUAACUGCAGCGAUCCUUCUUCCUCAGCCUCCCAAGAGAUGCGAUUACAGGUGUGCAUCACCACACCCAGCUGGCUUGGUGAUCAUAGGAAGUUACAGCGUUUAAAGAUCAAGUCAUGAGACGGCGUCCAGAGUCUACUAACAGGAAUAAAAAGAAUAGGAAAGAUCAAAACAUGGAUAAAGAGACACAGAAGACUUUCAGAAAACUUGAACAUACUGUCUUCAGGACGUCAGUAGGGGAAGAGCAAUAGCAAACUUCGGGAGGAACAUAAAGAUAUGAGGGCUGAAAAAUACCUCAAGGUAGACAAUUUCUUCAACAUAUGUAUGAAAAAAGCAGAAGAAAUUCAAGCAAUAAAAUUACAAUAAAAACAGCAUCCAGGCCUAUUAUAGCACAAUCAAUGAAUACACAAGACAAAAGUUAAAUAAACCCAAACACAAAACACAUUACAGUAAAUAAUUACCAGCAAAUUUCAAGCCAAGACAAUCAAUAUAUUGAUACAGUAUAUUUCAAAUAUUGCAAGAGAAAAUUAAUCUAGAUUCCUACCCUCUGAAACUAUCUGUCAUGUGUAAAGAGGAAAUGAAGCAUUUGGAGUCAGAAAAAAAU
rnacentral:lncRNA from 1 species